UACGUAGGGCGCGAGCGUGGUCCGGAAUUAUGGGGCGUAAAGAGCUCGUAGGCGGCUUGUUGCGUCUGCUGUGAAAUCCCGGGGCUUAACCCCGGGCGUGCAGUGGAUACGGGCAGGCUGGAGGCAGGCAGGGGAGAAUGGAAUUCCCGGUGUAGCGGUGAAAUGCGCAGAUAUCGGGAGGAACACCGGUGGCGAAGGCGGUUCUCUGGGCCUGUUCUGACGCUGAGGAGCGAAAGCGUGGGGAGCGAACAGG
rnacentral:rRNA from 1 species